AGCAGCCGCCGCGGGAAUACGUAGGGUGCGAGCGUUAAUCGGAAUUACUGGGCGUAAAGCGUGCGCAGGCGGUUUUGUAAGACAGGCGUGAAAUCCCCGGGCUCAACCUGGGAAUGGCGCUUGUGACUGCAAAGCUAGAGUGCGGCAGAGGGGGAUGGAAUUCCGCGUGUAGCAGUGAAAUGCGUAGAUAUGCGGAGGAACACCGAUGGCGAAGGCAAUCCCCUGGGCCUGCACUGACGCUCAUGCACGAAAGCGUGGGGAGCAAACAGGAUUAGAUACCCCUGUAGUCCCUGUCUCUUAUAC
rnacentral:rRNA from 1 species